ensembl:lncRNA
CAGAGAUGCAUUCAUGGGUUGGGUGAAACAUGGAGAAGAUUCUGAUGUUCUUAUGCCUAUUAGGAGAAAAGGAGCAACAGCAGGAGGAUACUUAUGUCUAGAAGGGUCAGAGUAGUUAUGAUUGAUCACUGGUCAGUGCUCAACUCUUGUGUUUAGAAAGCUUAUCACUCUGUCUUCCUAUUAAAGUUCAAUUAUCAGUGAUAAUGGAAAAGAGAACAGGAUUAUCACAAUUUGAGAGAUCAUAAGAUCCAAAUGUCUUGACUCAUUUUCUAAGAUUCUGUAUUCAGUGUACUCUGGGCCAUUCAGUGGUAUUCUAAUAAUCCAUCAUUAUCUCUUUUUUUUGCCUCUGACUAGUUUCCUAGUUUUUUCAUCUAGGUUCUUCUCUCUGUACACAUAUUCAUGUACAUGUAUGUGCCUUUGUGGUAGGAGAGUGUGGUUGACUCUUUCAUGUCUACAUCAGAAGAUUUAGGUCCAGACAGCAAAGGUGAUUGCUUUGUCUCAGCGUAGAACAUCCAUAUACCAGGCAGCAUACCCAUAUACAAGGUAAGGUAUGAUAUUCCAGAGAUGUUGCUGUUUCUAAGAAUAUAUUGGUCAGGAAUGAGUUCCUCUCUUGAUAAGCUCUCAGUUCAGUUCCAUCACUCAGUCAUGUCUGACUCUUUGCAGUCCAAUGGACUGCAGCAUGCCAGGCUUCCCUGUCCAUCACCAACUCCUGGAGCUUGCCCAAACUCAUGUCCAUCGAGUCAGGGAUGACAGAGGAUGAGAUGGUUGGGUGGAAUCACCAACUUGAUGGACGUGAGUUUGAGCAGGCUCCCAGAGUUGGUGAUGGGCAAGGAUGCUUGACAUUCUGCAGUCCAUGGGGUCACAGAGAGUUGGAUGUGACUGAGUGACUGAACUGAACUGAGAGAGGCUUCCAGUCACAGGGAUUUAUCUCCUUGUUCUUGAAAUUGACUUAUGACUCAUGUUGAACAAUGGAGUACUUUGUAGUGAUUGGACUGUGAUGGAUACAUGAAUAAAUAACCUAUAGGAGUUUUUUUUUAAGAGAGACUGAUAUGGAUAUUAGAGGAUGGAGUCACAAUCUUUAACUGUUGGAGUAACACAAGCUAGAGAUUCUGGUGGUCAUCUUUGUCACCUCUUGGAAAAAAAUCUGCUGGACAAUCAAAAGAAAGCAAAACAGGACCAAGUGAUAAAGAAGGAAGGGUUCAGGAUGGAGGGGACACAUGUAUACCUAUGGCUGAUUCCUAUUGAUGUAUGACAGAAACCAUCACAAUAUUGUAAAGUAAUUAUCCUCCAAUUAAAAUAAAUAAAUGCAUUUAAAUUAAAGAAAGAUUGUUGACAUUGUUUGGGCACCUGAAUGAAGUUAACCCCUAAACUUCUCAGGAACAUGAGUCAGCAGAUAACUUCCCUUUUUUUCUUUUAAAUU